GAUAUCUGUCCCUUUCUUGUGGGCCCAUUACCCCUGAGAGGCUGAUUUGAGGAAACACCCUUCAUUCACCAAUAUUCUUUACAAUUCUUUAUUCAUCUGCUUUAGGUGCUGCAUCUCCCCGAUUUGAAUAGAGCAGAAUAGGAUAGAGAGGGAGAGAAACCCUACUCCAAGGUUAAUGUGGUUUUGGGGGUGAAAUUUCUACUCAGCCCCUGGAUUAGGCCUAUACUGAAAACAAAGGAAAGUAGGUAGGUGCUGAGUUGCCUGAAAGUGUAGGUAAAAAGGGGGGCCACUAGGGGGCACAUUGGAAGAUGGCUGACAAUAACAUCUCUCCGACCCACACGAGGUAAUUUGGAGGCUAUGAUGGGGGUAAUUAGCCUCCUUAACCCCCCCAGGAUUGUGGGAGGGAUGGCCCUUGCCUGCUGUGCCCUAUACCACCCCCGAAUUUGUGGGGGUGGGGGCACUAGGCACAAAGCCCUCCUGUGGGAUUUCGGCACUCCUGAACGCCGUCCCUGAUUCGCGCCACUAGAUGCAGAACUUCAAAGGAAACAAUUUGGAUGAAAGGAAUGCACAUAUUUCAAGAAAGAAGGGGGAGUAAAGACUGCUAACAGAAGAGAUCUCUGACAAAACAAGAUAAGAAUAAAACAUGAGAAGAUACGCCAAGACAAGGUACGGCAAAUGACUGAUGGGGGAGGGGGGAAAAAACUCUUCCUUCUUUCCCUAUGUGAUUAAACAAGAAUCCCCUCCCCUUAUGAGUCAGAAAUGUCAUUUUAAGGACUUAAGCUGUGGAUUUAAGGCUGUGUGGAGAUAAACUUUCGAACCAAAGCACGUUUUAAGAAGAGCGUGGAAUGUGUAAGAGCUUGGGAAUAACGCAGUUAAAAAUGCCGUCGCCAUAUUGGGAAGUUCUGUCGGAGGUCUUGAGUCUGGGAGGAGAAAGAGAGAAAUAGAGCUGUUUAUAUAUUGUGGGUUAAACUCCUCAGUGGGACUUAAGAGUGACAGUUUUAUGAGACUAUGAUGGAAAGAGUGGUGUUAUCUAUGAAGGAGACAAUAUAUGGAAACCAUCUCGAUUUGAGGAUUGGAAGAACGGAAAAUUCACACAGGACUAUUAUUACUAUUGGUGUUUAUCGGCUUAAGGAAACUAUCAGAAGAGAUCAUAAAGAAAAAAGAGAAAAUAUAUGAACAAGAUGUGAUGUGGAAACAGCAAGAUAAGAUGGGAUAGAACUAUGAACUUUGUUUGGACUGAUUUGGACUGAUUGGGACAUUAACGCAGCAGCAAGAAGAUGAUCAGAAUCCCCCUUCGGAUCUUGAAAUAUGGGUCCCCCCAACAAAAUUUAAAAUUCGGCUUUGUAAUUCGGAAUUUAUGUGAUAUGAUUUAAUUUGAUGUGAUUGGCCAGUUAAUAAAAAUUAUUUUUUUUAAAAAAGAAACUGUAGGUAAAAGCUUGUAUGUUCCCUCUCAUGGGUUGCUGUGGCAUGAGGAUGAGAGGCCAGACCUGACCAUGGGUAGAUUGAGUUCCUGGAGCGGAGCCUCAGCUGACCAUCUCAACAAAUGGAGAGGUCCAUACUUGAGUAAGGAGUCCCUUGGAUAUCCUGGUCCCAAACUAUACCCAGGAAAGGUAUGGAGAACCGGUGGCCCUCCAGAUGCUGUUGACUCCCAACUACUAUCCAUCCAUGAACUUGGGCCAUGUUGGCCAGAGUUGAUAGGAGUUGCGCAGGGGCCAUGCUAAUCUUCUCUGUAUCAUUCCAAUUUUAGUAUAUGUGCUGCAGAAGCGAGCACUAGAGUUGAUAGGAGUUGGAAUCAAACAAUAUCUACAGGAUCAAGUUUCCCCACACUAGUUUAGAGCUUUAUAAGUCCAUGCUAGAACUGUGAAUUGCACCCAGAAACAAACUGGAAGCCAUGGGAGAUCUUCAAACACGUAUGUUCAGGGCAACAAGUCCCGGUUAGCAAUAUGGCCAGCUGUGGCUUCCAAGUGCUUUUCAAGGUAUGAAUGGAAGUUGAGCAGCAGCAGUAUUAUGUGAAUUAUUCCGCAAUGAUGUGACUACUGUUUGGUUAACAAUAAGCAGGUUGCUCUGAUCUGAAAUGCCUUUGCGUCCUUUGAUGUUUAGUAGGGCAAUUUAAUGUUAAUUUUAGCUAAUUUUAGCAGGGCAACAAGAAGCUGCUGGCACAUGUCUCCAGCAUCUAUGGAUCUGUUAUGACAACUGAAUCAUUUAGUUAAUUUAACAAUUUGAAUUCCUGCAACUUAUUAUUGCAUUAAAAUCAUUGUAAUUUACUCUCCAAUAGGGCUCGACGUGGAUCUCUCUCAUCUAGCUAUUUUUCAGUAAUUUUAGUUGACUGUUUGAGGCUGCUUCUGUACAGAGAAAACAAACAUUUGUGUGUGUGUUUUUUACAAAAAUACACCACACCAUCCCAUUUAAUUGAGCAACUGCAGUGCACUAACACUAGACAAGCUGAGGAGUCAGAAAGGAAAAUGUAUGCUAACGAAUCCUAAUCCAUAAUAAUGAGGUGGUGUUUGCUGCCUCAUUAGUAUUCAUUCUCCCAGGAUCCCUUGCAUUCUAUUUACCUCCUCUUUAGGCUUUCCUUAACUUAAAAUGCAAGAAUGUUCACUUUUGCAAAAAUGCACAGUGCACUAUUUUCUGCUUUAUAAAUAACAUGCAUCCCCUCAGAGUGUGACAACUUCUUAUUUGGUCACGUCAUUCACGACAGCUGUCACCAAAGGCUAGUCUGUGUUCUUUUCUGGAUGCUUUCUUUUGUAUUUAGAAAUCCUUUUCAGGUAAUUGCAUACAGUACAUUCAAUUAAUGCAGGGAGGAGAGGGGGGCAUUCAAGGGGGGUAGAGAGCUUACGGACUCAAACUGUUGUUUGAAAUUGUUUAGCUUGGAUGUGUUCCUGCCCAAAUUUCCCCUCCGCUUUCAGUCCCCAUGAACGUGAGGUGCAGAUCUCUUUUGUCCAGGGUAGAAAAGCAGGGUGUCAAGUGAAGCAUAAGACUAUGAAUGGUUAUUAGUAAUGAGGACUACAUUAUUGCCAAUGUCAGAGGUGAUGUGAAUACCAGCUGUUGGGGAUUAUGAGUGAGAGAUAGCUAUUACAGAGCUUCCAGUUUUCCCUAUUUUCCAGGGACAGUCCUGGAUUUACAGAAGCCGUCCCGUUUCUGAUUUGAUCCCAGAAUGUCCCACUUUUCCUUAGUACAUCCGUAUUUUUGUCGUAGAAAUGUUGGAGGGUAUGGAGUUAUGCAACCCCUGAGCCAAGGAGAUAAGUAACUAUACAACCUUUAGAAGAUGUCUUAAGGCAGCUCUGUAUAGGGUAGUUUUUAAUGUUUUAUUAUGUUUUUAUAUAUGUUGGAAGCUGUCCAGAGUGGCUGGGGCAACCCAGUUAGAUGGGCGGGUUAUAAAUAAUAGAAUGAUUACUGAUAUUUUUAAUGGAAAAGGAUGUCCCUAUUUUCAUCAGAGAAAUGUUGGAGGGUAUGCUAUUAUGUUCCUACCGUGCUUCGCAAAUGCAUCUGGUUACACACAGUAAAAAUAGGAUGUCAAACUAGAUAGGCCUUUCGUCCGAUCCAGCAGGGGUUUCUUAUAUAAGGAUCCCUCUGAUACCUUACAUCUCCAACACAGAUUUGAUUUUAUUUUAUAAAUUUUAGCCAGUUUUACAGGGGUUAAGUACCACCUGUAAAACAUCUUCAUAGUGUUUUCUUUGAUAGUAAUGCAUGCGGUGAAAUUAGUGUCUGAUUUCCAAAGUUUUUCCCAAUGAUCUAAUGAAAUCGCAUAUCCAAAAUCCUCUCCCCACUUGAUCAUUACUUCUUUAAUUUGUUCAUCUUUGAGUUCCCAUUCAAGUAAUAAAUUAUACAUUUUUGAUAGAUUGGGGGGGGGGAUUGUUCAAAAGUUCCAUCUGCAUGUUUUUAUUUUAUUUUUUGUCCUUCUUCCUUGCCUCGCCAUCACCCUGGAUGCUUCGAGUACUUGGGUCAUGUAAAAUAUAGUAAUUUCUGAUGUGGCUAUUGAGGCAAAGUGAUUCCCCCCCCCGGGGGGGGGGAGGCACCAAUACAGCUCCUUGCUGAGGGCAUAAGGGACCCUAGGUACACCUCUGAUUGCAGAUGAGUCAUAUAAUAUAUACAUUUUAAUUCAUACUUUGCCCCAGUAUCUGCAUUUUGUACACAUUACCGGGCUUGCAAAAUUUGGACAAUUGCAUGUUUCAAAAGAUGGCCAUGCUUCAGUUUGCAUUCCCAGCCACUCAGAAAUUGUGAAUUAGGUUGACUUGCCUUUAGAUGUGAAUUAUAUUGAAUUUCUUCCCCAUCCCCAAGAGUGGAGGGGAUAUUUGCUGUCCCCACAUCACCAGAAGCUAACAGCCAUCAGCUAUUAAAGACCAGGUCAUGGAAGCAAUUUCUUUAGCUAGUUAUUAUGCCAUUUUCGGAGACGGCUCUCUCUUCUUUUUGAGAUGACAAAACAGAAUUCCUGUUGCCAUUCUAUUCCAACUGGCUGGAAUGUAUGGGUUUUAAAACACAGACCCAACUCUUUCAGAUGCCAUUGAAAACUGCAGGUGUUUUAUUUGACGGGUUCAGCAAAUGGAUGAGCAUUAUACUUUUCUGCAUAAGAAAACAACAUCAAAUAUAGAAACAAAUCCAUUCAUACUCCUACCAGUUCAGAGCAAAAGCUUGGGAAUAGUAGAACUGUAGCAGAUUUAUUUUCCUGUCACUGCUUUGACCCCAGUAUUUGAAUGCUCUGGAGUUUAGCUGUAAUACUCUAAAAAAAAAUUCCUAAGACAAUAUGUCUACCGGCAAAGGGAAAUAGAUACACUUGUUAGGUGAACAAGGGGGUCAUUGUAGGAGAUCAGAGAAGAUACAUUGGGCUCAUGUGUACCUUGCAUGCCAUCAAUGGAGGGUCUGGUCCAGGCUUGCUUUUUUCCUGGAUGGAAAGAAUAUCCUGCUGGUAUGUGGGUGUUAGUUGUUCUAGUGGGGAACCACCUUCCCAUCAUCCGUUGACAGGGAAAUGGUGGACCUGUAAAAGGGUAAAAAAUUAUUGGGAAAUAAUCCAUAAUGAAUUGAAAAAUAAAUAAAUUUAAAAGUACUUUUCCAAAACAAAAACCAGAGUCAUUUUUGUUGGGGAUAAUUCAAAGGGAAAUUCCCAGGUGUCAAAAAAGAUUAUUUAUGUAUGCCACUACUGCGGCCUGUGUCUUGUUAGCCCAAAAAUGGAAAAUGAGUGAGGUCCCAACUAAAGAAGAAUGGCAACUUAAACUGAUGGAAUAUGCGCAGCUUGCGGACCUAACACAGAAUAAGAGAACAAGAAGAACAUAGGUUUAGAGAAGACUAGAAAAUGUUUAUUGAAUAUAUGGGGGGAAUUGUGUUCACUUGAAAAUGUUGGCAGCAUUAAGAUAAAUUUGACAGUGUAAAUAAGUUUUCAUGGAUGUAAUAAUGGAAAACUGAAUGGUUUAGUUUAUGUAAAAUAUGCAGGGGUGUAUGGUAUGCAAAAUGAGCCAUGGAAAGAGAAGAAGGGAAGUCAUUGAUAAUUGAAUGGUGUUUAAAUGAGUAUUCUAAAUCAGUGGCGUAGCGUGGGGGGUGCAGGGGGGGCCGGCCGCACCGGGCGCAACUUCUGGGGUUUAGGGUUAGGGGGCGCAAAUCCACGGGUUAGGGGGCGCAAAUUACUUGCCUUGCCCCGGGUGCUGACAACCCAUGCUACGCCACUGUUCUAAAUUGUAAAACAGAAAAUUUAAUAAAAAUUAGAGGGGGGAAUGUAUACAUGCUAGGGUCAAGCUCCUUGGGGGAAGAGCUCCACGUGGGCGCAUGAUGCUACCUUAUGCUGCAUCAGACCAUGGGGAAGGGCCAUAGCUUGGGGGUAGAGCAUCUGCUUUUCAUGCAGGAGGUCCCAGGUUCAAUCCUCAACAUCUCCAGGUAGGGAGGGUACUCUCCCCUGACACAAACCCUGGAGAUCCGGUGCCAGUCGGUGUGGCCAGUAGUGAAAUAGAAUAAUCAAGGAUCUGACUCAGUCUAAUACAUCUUCCCAUGUUUCUAUGCCCAUGUAGUUCGGUAGGGGGUUCCAAAAUGUAGUCCAGGAACCACCAGUGGUCCACAAGCUUCAUUCAGGUGGUCCACAGCAGGUCUGUAAAAAUGCACUUCUAAAUCCUACAGUAUCUGGCAGAGCACAUUGUAAUUGCUACAACAGGCAGAAGAAGAAAAAUAUUAAGUGGUCUGCCAAGAUCCUCAUCAAUUUUCAAGUGGUCCGUGCUGAAAAACAUUUGGGAACCACUGGGGUAUGCUAAUUGACAACAGCUCUCCAGGGUUUCAGAAAGGAAUUUCUCCCAGCUGUACCUAGAGAUGCCAAGGAUUUGGGGCCUUUUAUGGAAAGCAUGUGCUGCUCUACCACUGAGUGUGUGUGUGUGUGUGUGUGUGAGAGAGAGAGAGAGAGAGAGAGAGAGAGAGAGAGAGAGCGCACUUCAAGUUAGUGUCUCAGCUUCCAUGCUUCUUCAGCUGUCUUAGAUUUCAAGAACCCUGGACCAACCCUUUCUCUCUCUCUUCCUAUUCUAGAGCUACCUGAACCAGUUUAACCAGGGCCAGGAGGAGUCCAGCAAACAAAAGGACAGGUGAUAGGUAGACUCUUUUCUUACAUGCAGACUGGAGGAAAACUGGAAGAAAAUGGAUGUUUUACCAACUAAAUAGGCACAGAAGGAGGUUUGGCAAAACAAAAUCGCGGCACCUCAAGAAUGGCUUUUCUUUCCACUUUGAAAGUUAAUGAAUGAAGAGAUGAAAAUAACCAUGGAAUUUAAAACUGAUGGACCAAAGUCCUUGUCAGUAGAUGUCAUCCUUGCCAUUCUUCUAAGGAAUAUAACCUACAAGCAAGAUGUGUUACAUAAGCCUGUUCACAGAUUCUAGCUUCUGGCGUUAAACAGUUUAAAUCUACUAGAAGACUAACCAUCAAUUUUCUUAAAAGCUGUUGCCU